CUAAAUUCAAUUCUCUCUCUUUCUCUCAGAGAAAUGAAGUUGCAGCCGAUAAAACUCGACCCAAUAGUAAUUUCAUGAAAUUCUAUCUUCUUGAGGAAUAACGUGUAAUAGGUUCUUUGGAUAUUUGCCUUUGAAUCAAGGCGGUUCCAUUAGUGAUCUCAAGCAACAUAUUAAUGAUCAAUUAGUUGAAGAUUGCAUAAAUCAUGAAGUGAUUUGAAUGGUAAUAUCAGAUCGUUUUUUUAAAAUAAGUCAUAAUUCUCUCAUGUUUUGUUAUUUUUCAUUCAUCUGUCUUUUGAAUGUGAAAUAAGCACUUUUAAUGUCAACAAACUUUUUGGAUCCACAAAAAUGAUAGGAUAAUGUAAAAAGAAACUGUUGAAAAGGUACAUAUGUAAUUGAUUUAUCUAUUGUCUUUUGAAUGAUUUUUCUUUACAAUAUUAUUUGAUUUAACUUUUGUCUUUCUCCACUUGCGAUACAAAUCUGAUGCACAUUUGCUUCAAUAAAUACUAUAAUGAAGACGAAAAGGGUGAAUAAACUUAUAACUCAACCAUACUUUCAUAUUGAGAAUACAACUGAAAUGACUCUUUGUUACUAUUCCACAAAUGAAUUUUUGCUAUAUUUUGUAACACUUCAUAAAUGGACAAGCAAAUCUGAUAUUCGUUGUAAGCUUUUAGUUGAUUCUGGUGACUAUAACAAUGGAAAUAUUUUUUUAGAUACAUAUUGGUUAUUAAUAGUAAUAAAAAAAAGUAUGUGUUACCAACAAGGGUUGUGAUGGAGGACUAAGUACUCCUUCAUCCUUAAUCAAGAAAUCUCAGGUUCGAGUUUUCUUUGUCUUUAUUAAGGAGCCCUUUACCUCCCAAUGUGGGACUUCCUCCCAAUAUGAAUGUGAAUAUCAGAAACUGAGUGAGAAAGAAAAAAAUUUAUAGUAUGUGUAGAUUAUUCUAAAAAAUAUGUUUAACUUCUUUUCUCCUCUACAAGAAAGAUUCAUAGUUACUUGUUUUGGAUGAGUUCUCACUUUUAAUAGUUUAUGUAGCUCUGAGGCAUGUUUUAUAUGUCAUAUGAAUUUUACUUUUUCUAGCCAAAUAUUCUCAAUUGAAGAUUGAUUAAGGUAAAGUAGAAUUAGAUUGUCUUAAAACUCUUAACAGUACUGGAAACACAUUUAUUUGAAUGCUUGAUAUAAUAUUUGAUUUUUUUCUAUUUCAAGGGUAUUUGUGGCUGACAUCUUAUUGUAAGUUUGAGUUUUAAUUUAUGGAACCAAAAUAUAAUCCUAUUUGGUUUGGACUUGUUUACAUAUAAAGAUUGUCUUGGAGAUAAGGUCGUAGUAUCAUCAAUAUUGCUUCUACGGUUGAAUUAUUUUUUUUAUGUGAAAUAUAUUAUCUUGAGAUGAUAUAAAUAAAUCUAUGUUUGAUCAGCUUUUGUAAUGUUAAAGGAAUAAGCACAUUAAAUUUUCCGCUUUUUUCAAUGAGUCUUCUAUUGUGUAGCUUCACUUGAGUUUCAUGUUGUCUUAUGCAGAAUAUAUAGAUAUUAUUGAAGAUAAAAUUUAUGUGCUAUUUCUAAGCCUUUCAGGUUCAUUGGUGAGCAAGCCACCUGUACUGCUGCCAAAAGUUGUAAUCCAACAUCUAUAUACUCUUCCUCUUCCUUCACUAAUAAGCAGAUUUUCUGAAACAAAAUUCAAUUCUCUCUCUCUCUCUCUCAGGUAAUUUGUUUUAUUUUCUUAUGUUUGGUCUAGACUUUAAUUCUUUUUUUUGUGUCUUGCUUUCAAUUUCUUUUUCAGAAGUUUUAAAUUUUGGUUCGUUGGAUUGUUUGGGGAUAUUGCCGCUUGAUUGAAAUUGGACUUAUCGUUUUAUAUUAGUCCUCCCUCACUGCUGGCCUUUCGGCUCUUUUCAAAACUGAUUUUGUACUCAUUUACUACGUUAUAUCAAUUGCAUAGUCAUCAAAGGUAUUAAUGAGAAUAGAGACAUGCUAUGUGAAUAAAAUUCUCUAAGGUUAGUAAUGGAUUGUGUCAAUUAUUUUGAUCACCCUUUUUGCUAAUACAAUUUGUU